ACAAGAUUGGAUUUGGAUUACCACCUAGUGGCGGACGGGUGAGUAACACGUAGGUGACCUGCCUCACACUGGGGGAUAACAGUUAGAAAUAGCUGCUAAUACCGCAUAAGCGCACAGUUCCGCAUGGAACAGUGUGAAAAACUCCGGUGGUGUGAGAUGGACCCGCGUCUGAUUAGCUAGUUGGCAGGGCAACGGCCUACCAAGGCGACGAUCAGUAGCCGACCUGAGAGGGUGACCGGACACAUUGGGACUGAGACACGGCCCAAACUCC
rnacentral:rRNA from 1 species